GAUGAACGCUAGCGGCAGGCUUAAUACAUGCAAGUCGAGGGGCAGCAGGUCUGUAGCAAUAUAGAUGCUGGCGACCGGCAAACGGGUGCGGAACACGUACACAACCUUCCUUCGAGCGGGGAAUAGCCCGGGGAAACCCGGAUUAAUACCCCAUAGUAUGGUGAAGAGGCAUCUCUUUACUCUUAAAGAUUUAUCACUUGAAGAUGGGUGUGCGGCUGAUUAGCUAGUUGGCGUGGUAACGGCCCACCAAGGCAACGAUCAGUAACUGGUGUGCGGGGACGACCAGGCACACGGGCACGGAGACACGGGCCCGACUCCUACGGGAGGCAGCAGUAAGGAAUAUUGGUCAAUGGACGAAAGUCUGAACCAGCCAUGCCGCGUGGAGGAUGAAGGUCCUCUGGAUUGUAAACUUCAUUUAUCUGGGACGAAAAAAGGGAAUUCUUUUCCGACUGACGGUAUCAGAUGAAUAAGCACCGGCUAACUCCGUGCCAGCCGCGGCAGUAAGAC
rnacentral:rRNA from 1 species